CGCCCAUGCUGAACCCAGCGAUGCUAACCGCCCGAACACCCGCGGUCUGGUUCUUUCGAGGAUCGGAUGCGGGGACUAGCGCGGGAUCCGGACUGGUAGUAGGCAAGCGAU
rnacentral:rRNA from 1 species